AGAGUACGUUUUCUCCUGGCCGCAAUAUUAAAGGGACACUUUAAGCACUAAAACAACUUCGUCUUAAUGAAGUGGUUUUGGUACAGAGAUGUUGUCCCUUUUCUCUGGUAGCCACUAGACACCUUCUAAAACCGGUCUUCAGGUUCAUGCACAGAAUGAUGAUGCCAAACGCUUUUAAUGCUUCUUCUAUACGAGAUGCAUUCAAUUUAGUGAAUGGGAAGCAUUGGACUGGAGGAGUUUGGCGAUUGCCUUAAAUGCGC